GCGGAUAUAGUUCAUCGGUAGAAUGUCAGCUUCCCAAGCUGAACAGGCGGGUUCGACUCCCGUUAUCCGCU
rnacentral:tRNA from 7 species